UACGUAGGGAGCAAGCGUUGUCCGGAAUCAUUGGGCGUAAAGCGCGCGUAGGUGGCCUCGUAAGUCCGCUGUGAAAGUCAAAGGCUCAACCUUUGAAAGCCGGUGGAUACUGUGAGGCUAGAGUACGGAAGAGGCGAGUGGAAUUCCUGGUGUAGCGGUGGAAUGCGCAGAUAUCAGGAGGAACACCAAUUGCGAAGGCAGCUCGCUGGGACGUUACUGACGCUGAGACGCGAAAGCGUGGGGAGCAAACAGG
rnacentral:rRNA from 1 species